rnacentral:misc_RNA from 1 species
GGAAGUAAAAGUCGUAACAGGGUUUCCGUAGGUGAACCUGCGGAAGGAUCAUUAAUGAGUUGUCAUGGGGUUCGAUGCUGGCAGCCAGUUUUUGGAUGCAUGUGCUUGCCCUAACAAUCAUCUUCUUCCAAACACCUGUGCACAUUUUUGAGGGAGUCUUGAGUUGGUUGCCGCUCUUGGGUGAUUUUCUCACAUUCCCUUAAACCAUUAUACGCUAUUAACAAUGUUGAACGUGCUCUGUGCCGCAAGGCCAUUAAUAUAAUACAACUUUUAACAACGGAUCUCUUGGCUCUC